rnacentral:rRNA from 1 species
UACGUAGGGAGCAAGCGUUGUUCGGAUUUAUUGGGCGUAAAGAGCUCGUAGGCGGCUUGUCGCGUCGGCUGUGAAAACCCGCGGCUCAACUGUGGGCGGGCAGCUGAUACGGGCAGGCUGGAGUUCGGUAGGGGAGACUGGAAUUCCUGGUGUAGCGGUGAAAUGCGCAGAUAUCAGGAGGAACACCGGUGGCGAAGGCGGUUCUCUGGGCCUGUACUGACGCUGAGGAACGAAAGCGUGGGGAGCGAACAGG